rnacentral:rRNA from 1 species
UACGUAGGGGGCAAGCGUUGUCCGGAAUCAUUGGGCGUAAAGAGCGUGUAGGCGGUUUGGUAAGUCCGCUGCGAGAGUCCAGGGCUCAACCCUGGAAAGCCAGUGGAAACUGCCAAGCUAGAGUCCGGAAGAGGCGAGUGGAACUCCUGGUGUAGCGGUGAAAUGCGCAGAUAUCAGGAAGAACACCAAUGGCGAAGGCGGCUCGCUGGGACGCGACUGACGCUGAGACGCGAAAGCGUGGGGAG